rnacentral:misc_RNA from 1 species
CGACAGGGGGCAUCUUCGCGUGCUGACGGGCUCAAGCACCCACGGCGCAAGUGGGGCUCAGAUCGAUGCAGCACUGCGAAUGUCGGUGGUGAUUCCCAGCAUGGCGUGGCGUCAGAGCGAGCCGCGACAGUGCAGACGUGUGCGCCAUCCAUGGGAUGGGCAAUGCGCCAGCCUGACCCGCACCUACCUCACCAGGCCCUCACACUGCCCUGCCGGUGGGGUGGUGGGGAGCCUGGGCCACCCCGAUGGCGGCACCGCGUGGCGACCGGCACAAUGCGAGCGGCUGUGCGGCGACCUGCGAGGCGGGGAUGGUGGGCGGAGUCUGAGUCCGAGGCGAUGCUCCGAUGAAUGAGUAGGCGCAUCGCUGUAACGUGCGUGUGUGUGCGCGUGUUCGGCUGCUUCGCACGACGCGGAUGGGGGCCUGUGACAGGGCUGGUGUGUGUGUGUGUGUGGUGUGCGUGUGGUGUGCGUGUGGUGGUGGGGAGGUGCAGCUUAGUUUGGCCUCAUGCUCUAUGGCCGGAGUACUGAACUUGAAGAACUCCUUCCCUUCUCUCCACUGCUGUGACACUGACGCGUACGCAAGUUGCCGUUUCCAUCGCGCCCUGUCUAUCUAACCCCCUUGUCUCUCUGUCCCAUACGCUUUUUUUACGGUGGAUGCGGCUCACAG